AUUUAUUACCGACGCAAACUUUGCUAUGGGUGGCUGCUUGGGUACUACGAGCGUGUGCUUAAAACUCAAAGAACUUGGCGGCUAGCUAACUACCUAGGGGAAUAUGCGCCUUAAUCCGAUGGUCCCCGUAGCAUCUUACUGUGCCUCGAAGGAGUUCAGCUGGUGUAUUGCCGUUGUCAGCUUGUAGUAUGAGCGAAGAGAAACAGGCUCAAUGGAACUUCUGAUAAGUUCAGCACAGGAUCCACGAAUUCAGGUCGAAAUGCUGCCUAUGGCUCAAGGGAGUGGGUGUUACAAUUUUUAUUUGAAAUUACGGAUUUCGAGAUGAAAUUCUCGGGGUGAAGGCGAACUUAGGAGUAAGGGAGGAUUAAUAUGCCCCCCUGAACGUGAUUAUGGCUUGUGUACAAACUGCCCGUCGCUCUCG
rnacentral:rRNA from 1 species